rnacentral:rRNA from 1 species
UAGUUUGAUCCUGGCUCAGAUUGAACGCUGGCGGCAUGCUUUUACACAUGCAAGUCGAACGGUAACGCGGGGGCAACCCUGGCGACGAGUGGCGAACGGGUGAGUAAUACAUCGGAACGUGCCCAGUAGUGGGGGAUAGCUCGGCGAAAGCCGGAUUAAUACCGCAUACGACCUACGGGUGAAAGCGGGGGAUCGCAAGACCUCGCGCUAUUGGAGCGGCCGAUGGCAGAUUAGCUUGUUGGUGGGGUAAAGGCCUACCAAGGCGACGAUCUGUAGCUGGUCUGAGAGGACGACCAGCCACACUGGGACUGAGACACGGCCCACACUCCUACGGGAGGCAGCAGUGGGGAAUUUUGGACAAUGGGCGCAAGCCUGAUCCAGCAAUGCCGCGUGUGUGAUGAACGCCUUCGGGUUGUAAAGCACUUUUAGUGGGAACGAAACGGUCCGGGCCAAUACCCUGGACUAAUGACGGUACCCGCAGAAUAAGCACCGGCUAACUACGUGCCAGCAGCCGCGGUAAUACGUAGGGUGCAAGCGUUAAUCGGAAUUACUGGGCGUAAAGCGUGCGCAGGCGGUUUUGUAAGACCGAUGUGAAAUCCCCGGGCUUAACCUGGGAACUGCAUUGGUGACUGCAAGGCUUGAGUGUGUCAGAGGGAGGUGGAAUUCCGCGUGUAGCAGUGAAAUGCGU